UCCCAUAUUUUAUCUUGCAGCUGUAUUAGAAGUCACUCAAGUUCUGCUGUCUAGUGUUGUGAAGGUCCCAUAUUUCAUCUUGCAGCUGUAUUAGAAGUCACUCAAGUUCUGCUGUCUAGUGUUGUGAAGGUCCCAUAUUUUAUCUUGCAGCUGAAUUAGAAGUCCCAGAUAUUCCUUUGUUCUAUCAUUCCGGUGUGGGCGAUGGCCUGGAUGGUGGGUUGCUGCAGUGCAUGUCAGAGCAGCGGGGACAUGACCAAGAACAUCCAUUUUUUUUCAAGGGCGGGCAGAGUCAACAGGUAUACAUGAAGGCAGCAACACAUACAGUUUCCCAAGAAUAAUAAUGUGAAGUUUUGAAGAGUAUUGAUGAGUGUGAACGGGUAUGCAAUAGAUUUUAAGGGAAGGGUAACUGCUUCUCCUUGCCUUGCCUUCAAUGAUUCACCCUUUUUUUCAUCACUUUUUUUAUGCCAUCAAUGAUUCACCCUUUUUUUCAUCACCUUGUUUUUGCCUUCACCCUUUUUUCAUCACUUUUUUUCUGCCUUCAAAUCUUCUUCACCCUUUUUUUCCUGCCUUCAAUUCUUCUUCACCCUUUUUUUCAUCACUUUUUUUCCUGCCUUCAAAUCUUCUUCACCCUUUUUUUCCUGCCUUCAAAUCUUCUUCACCCUUUUUUUCCUGCCUUCAAAUCUUCUUCACCCUUUUUUCAUCAUUUUUUUCCUGCCUUCAAUUCUUCUUCACCCUUUUUUUCAUCACUUUCUGCCAUCCAUAACAAUUCACCCUUUUUCAUCAUUUUUUUCCUGCCUUCAAAUCUUCUUCACCCUUUUUUCAUCAUUUUUUUUCUGCCUUCAAUUCUUCUUCACCCUUUUUUCAUCAUUUUUUUUCUGCCUUCAAUUCUUCUUCACCCUUUUUCAUCAUUUUUUUCCUGCCUUCAAAUCUUCUUCACCCUUUUUUUCAUCACCUUUUUUCUGCCUUUGAUUCCUUCCUUCAUUCCUUUCAUCACUUCUUUCUGGGUUCAAUUCCUUCCUUCAUUCCUCUCAUCACUUCUUUCUGGGUUCAAUUCCUUCCUUCAUUCCUUUCAUCAAUUCUUUCUGGGUUCAAUUCCUUCCUUCAUUUUCCGCACCUUCCUUACACCGUCAAAAAUAUCACACACUCCACCACAAAUGGCUACACUAAGAUACCUGACUGACUGACCCUCGCAUGUGCUCCCGCCUUCCCAAACAAAACACAAACACAGGGAGAGUCCUUCGUGUGGCUGGAUAGGAAUGAAGCUUUUGUGUGUGUAUGUGUUGGUCCCUUGAGCUAAAAACAAACCGAAAAUUAACAUAAAAAUAGGAAGUUCUCUGUAUAUGCUGUGAAACCAGAGCCAUAAUAUAGGAGACUUUGGCACCAUGUUGUUACCAGAGGGGCUGCAUGAAAUUUAAACUAAUGCUGGUAUGGUGUGUUUGUUUACUGUGUGUGUGUGUGUGUCAAGGUACUUUUCCGAGAGUCUGAUGUUACCUAGAGCAGACAAAAAACAGGAAAUUUGAACUGAUGCUGGUACACUGUGUUUAUUUUGUGUGUGUGUGUGUGUGUGUGUGUGUGUCAAGGUACUUUUCCGAGAGUCUGAUGUUACCUAGACCAGACAAAAAGCACACUAUUUUAUGAGCCUCAAUUUGUAUUCUGCAUAUGUGGCUUUUUUUGGACAGGCCUCUUGCAGACUCCUUAUGCUCUUAUGUAGGUGGUCAAGUCUGUGCCUCCGUGUGAUAAUAAAAUAGUGAAAUAAAACAUAUAAGAAUAAAAAACCAAUAAAAAGUAAGUCGUAUUCCAGAGCUAGACAUCCGUUCAGUGCCGUUCAUCACAUAAAGAAACCCCCAAAAGUCGACAGCUAUUAAACGUUCCUAUUCUGUGCCACCAUGUAAUAAAAAAUAAAGAGUAAAAUAAAAAAAAAUAAUAAAAAGUCCAUUCACUACCGUUAAUCGCGUAAACAACCCCCCCAAAAAGUCGACACCUAUUAAACGUU